rnacentral:rRNA from 1 species
UACGGAGGAUGCGAGCGUUAUCCGGAUUUAUUGGGUUUAAAGGGUGCGUAGGCGGACUGUCAAGUCAGCGGUAAAAUUGAGAGGCUCAACCUCUUCCCGCCGUUGAAACUGGUGGUCUAGAGUGGAUGAGAAGUACGCGGAAUGCGUGGUGUAGCGGUGAAAUGCAUAGAUAUCACGCAGAACUCCGAUUGCGAAGGCAGCGUACCGGCAUCCAACUGACGCUGAGGCACGAAAGCGUGGGGAUCAAACAGG